rnacentral:rRNA from 1 species
UACGUAGGGUGCGAGCGUUGUCCGGAAUUACUGGGCGUAAAGAGCUCGUAGGCGGUCUGUCGCGUCGAUCGUGAAAACUUGGGGCUUAACCCUGAGCUUGCGGUCGAUACGGGCAUGACUGGAGUUCGGCAGGGGAGACUGGAAUUCCUGGUGUAGCGGUGAAAUGCGCAGAUAUCAGGAGGAACACCGGUGGCGAAGGCGGGUCUCUGGGCCGGAUGACUGACGCUGAGGAGCGAAAGCGUGGGGAGCGAACAGG